rnacentral:rRNA from 1 species
UGCAAGUCGAACGGAGAAUUUAUUCGGUAGAAUUCUUAGUGGCGAACGGGUGAGUAACGCGUAGACAACCUGCCUCUUAGAUGGGGACAACAUCGCGAAAGCGGUGCUAAUACCGAAUGAAGUGGAGCUUCCGCAUGGAAGGCAUCACCAAAGGUGGCCUCUAUUUUAUAAGCUACCACUGAGAGAUGGGUCUGCGUCUGAUUAGCUAGUUGGCGGGGUAAUGGCCCACCAAGGCGACGAUCAGUAGCCGGUCUGAGAGGAUGAACGGCCACAUUGGGACUGAGACACGGCCCAAACUCCUACGGGAGGCAGCAGUGGGGAAUCUUCCGCAAUGGACGAAAGUCUGACGGAGCAACGCCGCGUGAAGUGAAGAAGGUUUUCGGAUCGUAAAGCUCUGUUGUUUGAGACGAAUGUGCAGACUUUGAAUAAGGGUUUGUAAUGACGGUAUUAAACGAGAAAGCCACGGCUAACUACGUGCCAGCCGCCGC